rnacentral:rRNA from 1 species
CUUGAAAUACCACCCUUUAAUGUUUGAUGUUCUAACGUUGACCCGUAAUCCGGGUUGCGGACAGUGUCUGGUGGGUAGUUUGACUGGGGCGGUCUCCUCCUAAAGAGUAACGGAGGAGCACGAAGGUUGGCUAAUCCUGGUCGGACAUCAGGAGGUUAGUGCAAUGGCAUAAGCCAGCUUGACUGCGAGCGUGACGGCGCGAGCAGGUGCGAAAGCAGGUCAUAGUGAUCCGGUGGUUCUGAAUGGAAGGGCCAUCGCUCAACGGAUAAAAGGUACUCCGGGGAUAACAGGCUGAUACCGCCCAAGAGUUCAUAUCGACGGCGGUGUUUGGCACCUCGAUGUCGGCUCAUCACAUCCUGGGGCUGAAGUAGGUCCCAAGGGUAUGGCUGUUCGCCAUUUAAAGUGGUACGCGAGCUGGGUUUAGAACGUCGUGAGACAGUUCGGUCCCUAUCUGCCGUGGGCGCUGGAGAACUGAGGGGGGCUGCUCCUAGUACGAGAGGACCGGAGUGGACGCAUCACUGGUGUUCGGGUUGUCAUGCCAAUGGCACUGCCCGGUAGCUAAAUGCGGAAGAGAUAAGUGCUGAAAGCAUCUAAGCACGAAACUUGCCCCGAGAUGAGUUCUCCCUGACUCCUUGAGAGUCCUGAAGGAACGUUGA